GCUGAGGGUGUAGUGUCUUUUUGGAUAGAGAUUGUACUCUUCUUGAAUUACUGCUGGUUGUUGGAAGGGUUCUUAUCACAAAAAUGGCUUACCCUGAAAAGAACUUAUACAAAAGAUUGUUGAUUCUGCCAGGAUGGAUGAAAGCUAAAUCUGUAAUAUGAAGAGAUGAGAGAAUUCGAAUAGUCAGGAAAAGCCUUAGGAAAAUCUUUCAACCCCCCUGGAAAGAGUUCCCUACAGAGAAAUUGUCCUCCAAAAAGAGAGACUGGUCAGUGGGGCUUCUCUGGUUGCAUCUUCCAAAGAGUUCAGCCACUUUUGUCGGAGAAUCAUAGAAUUAUUCAGGUUGGAAGGACCACUAAGGUCAGCUAGUCCAACUAUCAGCCCGUCCCCACUACACUGCUAAGCCAUGUCACUCAGUGUGACCUCUGCCUUUGUUUUGAAAACCUCAGGGAUGGUGACCCCAUCACCAAUAAAAAGAUUGCAUCCAAAUCUGCUAACACCAGAUUAAGACCAAAUAAGGCCAGUUAUUGUUGUCCUUAACACUUCUUCUGGAGACUUUGAAGAAGAGAGGUCAUCUGGAGCAGCUGAUAACCAAGCUGCACUCUUCAGUUCCAGCCCAAAGUUGCAGCAAGAGCAAGAUGGUGUUUGCCUGAAAAAUUGGCUAGAAGUCACUUUUUCAUCUGUCUCACAGCAGAAAGCACCAGGAGCCCCAGCUCAGCUGUGACCAGUAGGAAAGGAAACCAGAACAGGCGGUAGGAAGUCUCCAGCCAUGCAGUGGGGACACAGUGUGACUGUUUGUGUCCUUUUCUGUUGGGAACAUCAAACCUUUCUGUCGCUAUGAGCUGUAGGGGAAACAGCUGAGUACAUGGCUGGCCACUGCUGAAAUAGAAAAGUGCAGAGAUCAAACCAAGCACUGGGUGCAGAACCAAUGGGAAGGGGUUGCAGGAAGGGGAAUGAGGAAGAAGGGCUGCAAGGCUGUGCCUGGGCCACUCACCAGCAGUGGAGUCCCCAUUUCUGGCAGCAUCCUGCUACAGGAAGCACUUGCUGAGUCAACAGGAAAUGACAGACAAACAUAAAGUAUUGGAGAGGAAAGCAAUGUUGCAACUUGGGAUGCAGACAGCAAUGUUUUUGUCAACAUCGUCACGUUGGCUGCAUACUGCUUUUAUUGAAAGAAGUGAAAGAAGUUGGAAGAUGGAGAGUUGAUCCUGCUUCACACCUCCCACCUCCAAGAGAUGUGCACAGAGUGAGUUUGCGAUGCCCUGGUGACUGCACGGUGCCCCAUGAAGUUCAGCAUCAGUACUUUUCUGUUGCUUGCAGGUCAUAAUUGACAGCAGCGGUUUAAUUAAAUAAAAACAGCACAGCCGUUUCUUGCUAAAGCAGCAGACCCUAAUCAUCUGCUAGAAAUGGAUGCCUCCCGCUCUCACUGAGGAUAAACACUUGGAGCACUUGCAAAUUCUGAUAAGUGAGUUCAAGCCUGCAUUGUUAUCUUGCUUUUUUUAUACUGCAGAGUUGUUGGGAGGAAUAAAAAGAGCCAGAAAUCUUUAUUAUUCUUCCUUAGGGAUUCAUUGCAUUCUACUUUACAGCGCAUUGUUAUAUUACCA